UCGAUGGAGAGUUUGAUCCUGGCUCAGGACGAACGCUGGCGGCGCGCCUCAUACAUGCAAGUCGAACGUGAAGCCCGGAGCUUGCUCCGGGUGGAAAGUGGCGAACGGGUGAGGAACACGUGAGGAACCUGCCCCGAAGACUGGGAUAACACCGGGAAACCGGUGCUAAUACCGGAUGCCCUCACCGGAUCUCAUGUUCCGGUGAGGAAAUGGAUUCCGCUUCGGGAUGGCCUCGCGGCCUAUCAGCUUGUUGGUGGGGUAACGGCCCACCAAGGCUUCGACGGGUAGCUGGUCUGAGAGGAUGUCCAGCCACACUGGGACUGAGACACGGCCCAGACUCCUACGGGAGGCAGCAGUAGGGAAUCUUGCGCAAUGAGCGAAAGCUUGACGCAGCGACGCCGCGUGCGGGAUGAAGGCCCUCGGGUCGUAAACCGCUUUCAGCAGGGACGAAAUUGACGGUACCUGCAGAAGAAGGCCCGGCCAACUACGUGCCAGCAGCCGCGGUAAUACGUAGGGGCCAAGCGUUGUCCGGAUUUAUUGGGCGUAAAGAGCUCGUAGGCGGUUCGGCAAGUCGACGGUGAAAUCUCCACGCUCAACGUGGAGGGGCCCGUCGAUACUGCUGUGACUCGAGUCCGGUAGGGGAGUGUGGAAUUCCCGGUGUAGCGGUGAAAUGCGCAGAGAUCGGGAGGAACACCCGUAGCGAAGGCGGCACUCUGGGCCGGUACUGACGCUGAGGAGCGAAAGCGUGGGGAGCAAACAGGAUGGGGAAACUUGUCCUCUUCAGCCGUGAGGCUGUUGCGUAAACCAGCUGUAUCGGUGAACAUCCGUGCACAGCACGGACAACGCCGAGGGAAGUCGGUGGUCUGACGUCGGGUCCUCGUACACAUCGACCCGGCGGCGCUCAGGCCGCUUGACCCCGUAGAGACUGCACGCUGGCCCUGGGCAUGCGAGUGCUCAGGUGAAGACACAGUCCGACCUCACGGGUAACCGUGAGAGCACUCCCAGAAAUGGGGUGCCGCCGCUUUGCGGUAAAUGAAGCGGUCAGCAGCCCGAGAAUUGGGUGAAAGUAACAGACGUGUAGAUACCCUGGUAGUCCACGCCGUAAACGUUGGGCACUAGGUGUGGGACUCUAUCGACGGGUUCCGUGCCGUAGCUAACGCAUUAAGUGCCCCGCCUGGGGAGUACGGCCGCAAGGCUAAA
rnacentral:rRNA from 1 species